GCUACCAUGCAGUCGAGCGGGACCUCUGGAGGGGUAACCCUCCUGAGGGGAGAGCGGCGAACGGGUGAGUAACACGUGGGCAACCUGCCCCGGACACCGGGAUAACCCAGGGAAACCUGAGCUAAUACCGGAUACUCCGGCGUGAUCGCAUGGUCGCGCCGGGAAAGCUCCGACGGUCCGGGAUGGGCCCGCGGCCUACCAGCUUGUUGGUGGGGUAACGGCCCACCAAGGCGACAACGGGUAGUUGGCGUGAGAGCGCGACCAACCACACUGGGACUGAGACACGGCCCAGACUCCUACGGGAGGCAGCAGUGGGGAAUCUUGGACAAUGGGCGAAAGCCUGAUCCGGCGACGCCGCGUGGGGGAUGAAGGCCCUCGGGUUGUAAACCCCUUUCAGCGGGGACGAAGCGAAAGUGACGGUACCUACAGAAGAAGCCCCGGCUAACUUCGUGCCAGCAGCCGCGGUAAUACGAAGGGGGCUAGCGUUGUUCGGAUUUACUGGGCGUAAAGCGCACGUAGGCGGAUCGUUAAGUCGGGGGUGAAAUCCUGGAGCUCAACUCCAGAACUGCCUUCGAUACUGGCGAUCUAGAGUCCGGAAGAGGUGAGUGGAACUCCUAGUGUAGAGGUGGA
rnacentral:rRNA from 1 species